rnacentral:tRNA from 1 species
CGUCUUAAUUUGCGGAUAGACUCAUAAUCCCUUGGUCGUGGGUUCGAACCCCACCGGACCCACCA